rnacentral:rRNA from 1 species
AUUGAACGCUGGCGGCAGGCCUAACACAUGCAAGUCGAGCGGAGCGGCGGACGGGCGAGUAAGGCCUAGGAAUCUGCCUGGUAGUGGGGGAUAACGUCCGGCAACGGGCGCUAAUACCGCCUACUAGCAGAUGAGCCUAGGUCGGUUUAGCUAGUUGGUGGGGUAAAGGCUUACCAAGGCGACGACCCGUAACUGGUCUGAGAGGAUGAUCAUUCACACUGGAACUGAGACACGGGCCAGACUCCUACGGGAGGCAGAAGUGGGGAAUAUUGGCCAAUGGGCGCAAGCCUGAUCCAGCCAUGCCGCGUGUGUGAAGAAGGCCUUCGGGUUGUAAAGCACUUUCAGCGAGGAGGCGUUACCCGCAGAAGAAGCACCGGCUAACUCCGUGCCAGCAGCCGCGGUAAUUC